AGAAAAGCUAAGGCUAGAUUUUGAAGUCCGUUGCUUACAGUAGCCGACUAUUUCCUGCUAAGUAUACCGAAAGAUUUUCUCGAUUUUUCCUUCACUUUCUUGGCAACUUUCUCGGAAAAUUUUCAAUCAGAUGUCGAAUAAGGAAGUUCAAGAAUUCUUUCAUAGUCUUUCAAGGAAAGAGCUUCAAAGUUUGUGCAAGAAAUAUGGCUUGCCUGCUCGGAAGUCAAGUUCUGAAAUGGCAGAAUCAUUGUUCUCUUCCUUUCAGAAGAAGGAUUUAAGUUUGGCACCCUUGGGCAAGAGCUUAGGUGGGAUUCAGGAGGUUUUACUUCCUCCAUCUUCGCUAACAGAUUUUCAUAAUGAAGUACCAUUAAAUGCAACAGGAAAUGUAAUAAAAGAUUUUUUGCUUAUAGAUAGCAUUCGACCGCGAUCUUUUUCUAGCGAGGAUGGCAAGAAAGGAAAUAAAAGCAUUAAAUGCAAUGAAUUGGAAAGCUGUGUGGAACUUAGAACUUAUGCUAAGGAAGGCUUUGGUGGCUCUGUUAAUUAUUUUCAAGGUGCAUCCCAGUCUCAGUUUGUUUCUCAAUGUGCUGGUAUUGGUUUCUUCCACAAGGAGCCCUCAGCAAGCCUCAUUCACAGAGUGGAAGAGACACAUCAAUUUCUUGGUGGAGGCAUUAACAUAGGUGUCUCUCCCAAAGAGAAUGCUUCUCCCGCAAUAAAUACCUGUACAAAAGCUCCUUCCUCUUUUGAGUUUUAUGUCAGUUCAGAAGAGGGAAUCAAACUUUGUGUUGAUUUGGAUUCAAGCCCACUAGACUGGAUUAAGAAAUACCAAAAUCAGGUUUCUUUAUGUAAUAAUGUGGGGAAUGCCAAGUCUCGAAGUCUUCAUCAAGAGCUUGGGUGCAUUGGAGAAAGUGAUAAACAGAUGAAAAGAUCCUUUCCUCAGAUUAUGGAUCCUAAUGAAAUCAAGGAUGGCCAUGUGGGAACUGAACCCUCUCCAAGUUUUGUUAUGGAACAAGACAGUUUAGGGAUUGAUCAUCUAGAUGGAGGUAAUAAAUCAUUGACACUGUCACCGAAAAGAUCAUGUACUGCAGUUCUUGUAGAGGUAUCAGACUGCUUAGGGGAAGAUCGGGGACCUAUCUCAUCCAUACCUAGUUCUAAUAUGCAGAACCAAAAGAUUUCUAAUACAGAAUCCUACACUAAAAAUGGGUACAGUGCGACUACUCUUGAUUCAGAUAUUUCUGAUAUUCCAACAGAAAACACAGCCUGCAAUUUUGCUAUUAACUCCAUAUCCAAUGGCUCAAUAGAUCUUAUUGCAAUUGAGCAUCAGAAUUCAAAGUAUGGUGAUAAAGUUUGUGAGUAUUCCACCCUUCAGAACAGUAGUAAUCUUGAGAAUAAUUGUAUGGCGUUUCCUGGAUGCUUGGCCAGUUGUUCCACAGAAAUACAGUUGUCAGAAGCUGGAAACUACCACAAAGACGCAUCAUGUUCACCUAAUAGAAACUGUGAAUUCUUUGAUAUGGAGGAUUCAAAGCACAAUGUUGGAACUGAGCAAGCUGCAUUGGCCGCCCCUUGUGAGAAUGGCCAUUGUGGGAACCAUUUGCCUACAUGCUCUGAAGAGCUGGAAUGGAGCAAUACUGCUAAUGGGGUGGAGAGUUCACUAUGCUCACAAGUUGACAACUCAGUUGAGAAGACUUGUUUAACAUCUGAUAAUCUGGAAUCAAACAGAGAAUUUUACAAAAAGAGGCCAUUAAUGGACAUUGAGGAUCCAAAAAGUUGCAACAAGCGUGACUUAAAAAUCUUGAGAAGCAUGAAGCAUUCUGCUGCAGAAGUUCUUCCCAGAAGAUCAAUGCGGCUUGUCUCUAAGUGAGCUCACAAAUAAAUGCUGGGCACAUUGCAAGAAUUGGUUUUCACAACAUUGUUGUAUCAUUAUUUCUGGAUCCAAGACUUCUAAGAGCGCGCGCGUCUUGUCAGCUAAUUGACAAAUUAGGAUGACUCUAAACUAGCAGCCAGACUAAAUGAUGUGAAGUGUAUUCUGCAGGCUCUAACACAAAAUAAAUAAAUAAAUAAAUAAUAAAAGUGUGCUACCUUAGACAGGAAAAAAAAAAAAAGGGGCUAAGACAGUUCUAGGUAUGCCAUCUUACAAGUUCUCGCUGCCUUCAUACGUUGCAGGUUCUACAUUCUUCUGAGAGCAAUAAAAUUAAAAGUUAUUUUCCAAGUCGUUGAGACUGGAUAGUUUUUAUUCCUUCCCCCACAGCACUCACAAAGCUGACCUGAUUUGAAAAUAUGGUAAUAAUCCAAAGGUUAGUGGUUGCUGAGGUUGAAUUAAUUCUAUGUUUUGAAUUUUUUCUUUUUGUUUUUGGGAAUGAACACCUUACUUGUAUAUAUUCAUUUAGAUUCUGUUACUGCCAAUUCUUUUGAUGCAUCUGUAAAAUUAGAACUUCUGUUCUUUCUUUGCUUGUCGACAAAUAGAAACUGGAUUCAGUACAAAGCUCGUUUCUUGUGUUGACAGUCUAAUUCUUAGUGGAUGAUUAUUGCUUGGCUGAGUUAGUUGGAAAA